UGGAGAAGAUCUCCUUUGAGUCUAAAUUGUCUGCAGGGCCAGAUGGAGGAUCCAUUGCAAAGCUUACUGUGAAAUACUUCACCAAAGGUGAUGCUGCACCUAGUGAAGAGGAAAUCAAGGGUGGCAAAGCUAGGGGUGAUGGUCUUUUCAAGGCUCUUGAAGGUUACGUUUUGGCAAAUCCUGAUUACUAAAGCAUAUAGCUAAUUGCUUGCUUGCUUUAUACAUGGUGUGUUGUGAUGCAUUUUAUUAUAUCAUGUGGGCUUGAUUUGGUUGCCAAAUGUAAUUUUCUAUUUUCCGUUUGCUGAAGUUUGAGAUUGUAAGUCAUAUGUGUACCUCCCUUCAAGAAAUUAUAAUAAUACUUCAUCUAUUCAUUUUUACUUUUUUUUUAAAAAAAUAAAAAUUGUAUGCAACUAUUUAUAUGUGGCUUUCGAAUUUUAAGGUUAUUGUUAGAACGAAAACUAAUAACUGAAGAUUAAAUAAGAGAACGAAAGAAAAAACAAUGAACAUACAAUAUUUUUUAACACAGUUCAAUCAAUUGUACCUACCUAUGUGACUAUAGAUCAACUAUUGUUCUAUUUCUAUUACUGUGACAAGAAUUAGGGUUUCAUAUUACAAGCUGUAUAUAUGAAUUAUAUGUUAAGAGUCCCACAUCGGUUAGGAGUUGGCCUGACAAUUUAUUUAUAAGUGGGGGGCAAUCCUCACCUCACAAACUGAUUUUGUGGGGUUGUGUUAGGCCUAACCACGAUUUCUAAUUCUAUACUUCAUCAGUUAUACUCAUCAAUCUUUUAGACUCUAAGAUAUCUUGGUUAACCAAAAAAUAAUUGAACAUAAGACAACCCAUUCUCCAUAAAACAAUUCUCACACAAUCUUUCCAUAUCAACAUACACCGUGGCUUCUUAAAAAUAAUAAACCCUAUGAGAAAAGUAAAAAAACGAGGCAAUCUUGAGAACAUAGUGGCCAAAUAUUAGAGGACAAUUGGUAUGAAAUGAAUAAAAAAGGGAAAAAUCUUACAAAUGAAUGAAGGAGUACAAGAGUGUUUAUAUAAUGGAAGCAUGAAAAUAACUAUAACUAGAUCAAAAGAGAAAAGAGUAAAUGUCCUAAAAUGUCCUCUAUCUCUCUUGGUAUGAUUCUUUCUCUUAUCUUCUUCAUUGUGCAAUAUCCUCCCACAAGUUGGAGGUUGGUAGAUAUCCAACAUCCCCAACUUGGAUAGAAGAAGAUUGAAAGGCUGCAGAAGUAGUGACUUGGUGAAGAAGUCUGCAACUUGAUCUUUAGAGGAAAUAGGUAGUAGCUUGAAUAAUCCAGCUUACAUUUUUUCUCUAAUAAUAUGGCAGUCAAUCUCAAGGUGUUUGGUAAUUUGUUCAUGAAAGACUAGAUUAACAGCGAUGUAGAUAGCACUUUGAUUGUCACAGUAAUGAACAUGUGCUUUGGUACAUUGAAUCUCUGAUAAGGUAAAGCAACCAUUGCAAUUAACAACUAGUAGAUGCAAGUGCUCGUUAUUCAGCUUCUAAUGUGAUCUAGAGACUGUAAGUUGUUUCUUUGUUCUCCAAGAAACAAGAGAUUUGCCAAGAAAGAAUCAUUGACCAUAGAUUUACCACUUUCUUACAUGGAAUAAUUUGGUGAAUUUGCCAAAUUUGACAUCACAUCAUCGCGAUAUCUAAAAUUGUAUCGUGCAAUGAAGCGUGUCUUUGGUUUCAUGGUACAUAAAUACAAAAGUGAUUUUAUACACAUAAAAUUAAUUCUAAUAUGUGAUGUCUACCGAAUAUGUUUCUUUAGAAUUGAUUGUAUAAUUUGAAACUUUUAACUCUAAACUACAUUAAAGUUUACUGUUCAACCCAUCUACUAUUAAUUUAAACAUAAAUCAUAUCACAAUCAUCUCAUUUUUAACUAAAAUUAUUUUAACAAAAUCCGGUUGACAAAAUUCUAAUGAUAUCAUGAUCUUACUGAAGAGUCAAAAUUAAGCUUUUGAUCAAUUGCAGUAAUUCAUCGUAAUUUUGACAUAUAUGCUGUUUAUAACUAAAAAAAAAUUAUUGGUAAUGUUAACUUGUGUUCUAAGGGCACAUGUUAAGGAACUCAAAAAUAACAAUUUUACAUUGAAAAACAUAAUAUUUUAACUUUUAAGAAGUUAAAUGCACAACUUUUUGAUACGUACUUCUAUAAUUAGUUCUUUAACAUGUGCCCUUAAGGACAAAAAUUAGCAUUUGUCAUAAAUUAUUUGUAUUAAAUUCAACGUUUUUUCUUCUUCUUCUCUUUCUUCUUUCUAGAAUGGCGCCUUGAAUUGUUCAAAAAAAAAAGAAUGGCGCCUUGAGACUGCAAUAUUUAUAUAGACCGCAAUAUUUUCUCCAAGUUGAAUACUAUGCAAUACUAUAAGACUAGGACUCCCGAAUUUCCUCUUCUUUUUUGGAUAAUAUGAAGCAGAAAGAGUACACAUUUGUUGAAUAUAAUGCCGUAUAAUACGUGGUUCUUUGAAUGCUUCCAACUCAAUUUUUGACCUGUACACAAAAUUCUUCAGACUCACCUUAAAAUAAACCAUCUUGACAGUUUGUUAUUAUUUUUUUAAAGAGCAAAAUACGUCAUCGAAUUAAAGAAUAUUAAUCAAUUAAGUAAUUAAUUUUUUUGGUCUUGAUCAAUUAAUUAAUUAUACCAGCGGUAAACAUAAAAAGACGGAUCUACAGUCACGCGGCAACAAAUCCAAAAAAGUAUGUCAAUGUCAUAUUAUUUGGUAAAUAUUUUAUUUAUCAAUUUCAACUUUCAAGUUAAUAAACUAAGACCUCUCAAAAAAGGUAAUAAACUAAUAAGAAUAUUCUCUCAACAAAAAAUAAAACUAAGAAGAAUAUAUUUUGCUUAUUUACCGAAAAAAUAUUUUGCUUAGUCUAAAGAAGAAGAAUAUACUUUGCUUCAGCAAAAAAUGUAUUUUGUAUGUAUUGUAGUUGAGGUUUAUCAUAAAUUCAUAAUGCUAUUGUAGUUGAUAUGAGACGAAUAGUCCUUUAUCUUUUUUGUCCUUUAUACCAUAAAAGAUUAAAUCGAAAAAAGAAAAAGAUAAAAGACGAAAAUGUUACUUAAUUAUAACAUAAAUUAUUAAAUCAAGAAGAAAUGAUAAAUGACGAAAAUGUUAUCUCAAAUUAAGUCAAGGCACGAAAAAUGUAAUUUUGUCAAUUAUAUAUAUUGCUUAAGUUUUUAUUUAUUUUAGGUCAAAUACCUCUCGGAGUCCUUUAAGUUUCACGUUUGUAACGGAUAAGUUUUUUAAUUUUUUAAAGUUUCAUAUUGGUCCUUUAAGUUAUUGAAAAAUUAUGUCGUUAACCUUUCAGUCAACCUCCGUUACAAAAACGUUGAGAUGUCCAUUAUGAUUGACAUGAUAUAAGGCGCCGCGUUUUUUCCAUUCCAUCGUGUUCCAAUUUGAAGAAUCUAGGCAAUUUGAAGCCAUGCUUUUCUUAAAAAAGCUUCAAAUUGGUUGUUAAUGAGGUUAGGGUUUUCAAUUUGGGGAAGAAUGGGUGAAGAUUGAAGAAGAGUGAUGAGGAAUGUGAUGGGGUAGUAUUGGAACACAUUGGAUAGGCCAGAACAUGGCGUUUUAUGCCACAUCACAUAUUUAACGGACAAUUAAACUUUAUUGUAACGGAGGUUGACUGAAAGGGUAACGACGUAAGCUUUUAAUAAUUUAAAGAACCAAUCUAAAACUUUAAAAAUUUAAAGGACUGAUCCGGUACAAACGUAAAACUUAUCUCAGGAGAUAUUUGACCUUUAUUUUAUAUAUGUUGUUUUGCAUUGAAAUUUGAGUGGUCUUGGAGGAGAGAAAAACAAAAAAGAAAAAUAAAUAGUAGAUGCAAUCAAUAAUUUUGUUAGUCCAAAUAAUAGUUUUCUUUAAAAAUAAUAUCGUCCAAACUCAUACAAUUAAAAAUAGUAUUCAAAUUUUAUGUCACGUCACAAUGAGAAAAAAUAGCCCAACGACCUUGUUUUACACAUCAUCAUCAUCAUCUAAUGGCCUAUCUAAAGUCUAAACUAUACAUCUUCUUUUCCUAUAAAUACAAGAGUGAACUCCACUAAUAAAUCACACAGGCAAACAAUUAACUUCUUAAUAGUUUGUUAUUUCAUACAUUAAUUAGAAAUUUAUAAUUCAUUAUCAUCAUGGGUGUCUUCAACUUUGAGGAUGAAACCACAUCUAUUGUAGCUCCUGCUAGACUUUACAAAGCUUUAGUUACAGAUUCUGAUAACUUUAUCCCGAAUGUUAUUGAUGCCAUCCAAAGUAUUGAAAUUGUUGAAGGAAACGGUGGCGCCGGAACCAUCAAGAAACUUACUUUCGUUGAAGGUUUUUAUUUUUAUUUUUUUAUUAUAAGUAAUCUAAUGGUUAGAAAUCUUAAUUCUUAAUACUUGUUUUUCAUAUUGUUUUACGAUAAAAAACCUGAAAAUACACAUAUAUGUUUUUGGUAGAUUACUCUCAACACACACGUAUAUCAAAACUUAUAUUUGCAGUUUCAACAGUAAAACAAUAUCGGAAACAAGUAUUAAGAAUAAGGCUUAAUUGCAGGUCUGAUCUCUUAUGUUUACUUUAGUUUUUAAGUUGAUCCUUUAUGUUUUAAAAGUUUUAAGUUGGUCUCUUACGUUUUAAAAGUUUUAAGUUGGUCCAAAACGUUACUCACGUUGGAAUAAGUUAGUCCCUCCAGUCACUUAACGUUUAAAGAUCCAUGUUGACAAUAUGGGUGAUGAAACUUAACUUAUUUAGAAAAUCAAUUUUAAAACAUUUUUUAUUUUUUUUUGUUUUAUUAAACUCAAUAUCAUGUCGCGGAAGGACUAACUUUAUUCCAAUGUGAGUAACAUUUGGACCAACUUGAAACUUUUAAAGCGUAAGGGACCAACUUAAAUCUUUUAAAACAUAAGAGAGUAACUUGAAAACUAAAAUAAAUAUAAGUGAUCAAACAUGCAAUUAUAAGCCUAAAAAUUAAGAUAUAUAACAUAAAUAGCGGAAGUCAACAAAACACAUGAGAAUAUUCUUUUGAUGACAUCAUUACUAGUAUUUUUUUUAAAGAAAUCAUUACCGGUAUAUUAUUACAUCAUAGAUCUUAUCUUCGUGAGUUUAGCUCAGUUGAUAGAGACAAUGUAUAAUAUAUGCAAAGACCGAAGUUCAAACAUCAGUCACCAUAAAAAAAAAAUUAUGGAUCUUGCUAACAAGUGCCCUAAAAGCAUUGUUUAAAGAACCCACAAAAAUAAAUUUUGUCUUGAAAAUAUAAGGCAAACACAUGUAAAAAUCAUAACUAUACAAUUUUCAAUAUAAAAAUUACUAUUUUUGAAUGCUUAAAUAGUGCCCUAAGAACACUUAUUAACAUUUUUCUGAUAUUAUAUGUGCUUAAUAGAGAUCUAAUGUCGGUGUCUCAUAAGUCAUAGCUCAACUGGCAAAAAUACCGAAAUUGUUAUGCCGGACGUCAUGACCGGGGUUCGAACCUCAAUACCUCCACUUUGUGUGUGUGAGUUUAUGGUGGCUUUGCCAUCUCUUCUAUAUACCAAAAAAAAGAGAUCUAAUGUCAGUGUAAAAUUAUUUUACCGUGACAAUUAUGACAAUUCACCAUACUACCAAAUUAGCCUAUUUAGUAACCCUUUUUCAAUACUUGAUAGAAAAACUCUUUUUUGAAAGUAACCACCAUAUGUUACUCUUGUGGAUUGGAUUAUUUGUUACUAUGUUUUUUAUAUAAUUAUUUUUUUGUGAGAAACAUAAUUUUUUUUUAAAUUAUUUCGGCUUAAAUACAAUUUUGAUGCCCCUAUUUUUAAAAUUGUUAAUUUUUGAUACCUUUAUUUUUAAAAUCUGUUUUUUAUUCAAUUAUUUAAAAGGCUUAAUAGCAGUUUUAGCCCUUAAAUAUUACGAAGUUAAGAUUUUGUCCCCUAACAAAAUAAAAUACAAUACAUCCCCGUAAGUACUGCCCUUUUUGUAGUUUUGGCCGCUCAGACCAAUUUUGACCAAGUCAUUACUUAUGUAGACGCAACGUGUGUAUUUUUUUUAAUUAUUAAAAAAUAAUUAAAAUAAUAAUUUUUUUAUAAAAAAAAUUAAAAAAUUGAAAAUUAUACACGUGACGUCCACACAGCAUUUACUUGGUCAAAAUUGGCCUGAGGGGCCAAAACUGCAAAAUGGCAAUACUUAGGGGGAUGGAUUGUAUUUUAUUUUGUUAAGGGGCCAAAAUCGCCUAAUACUUACGGGGCCAAAACUGGUAUUAAGCCUAUUUAAAAAGUCAACAAAAUAUUUUGGUUUCAUUCCUCUCUGAAUGAUGUGGCAUGUCCAUUAAUGACAUGAUGUUUGUGAUUGAACUAAGUGAUUUCCAUGAUGUUUAUGAUUGUGAAACGAAUCAAUUAUGCGCAGGUGGUGAAACAAAGUAUGAUUUGCACAAAGUGGACUUAGUAGAUGAUGUUAACUUUGCUUACAACUACAGCAUAGUUGGUGGUGGUGGACUUCCAGACACAGUGGAGAAGAUCUCCUUUGAGUCUAAAUUGUCUGCAGGGCCAGAUGGAGGAUCCAUUGCAAAGCUUACUGUGAAAUACUUCACCAAAGGUGAUGCUGCACCUAGUGAAGAGGAAAUCAAGGGUGGAAAAGCUAGGGGUGAUGGUCUUUUCAAGGCUCUUGAAGGUUACGUUUUGGCAAAUCCUGAUUACUAAAGCAUAUAGCUAAUUGCUUGCUUGCUUUAUACACGGUGUGUUGUGAUGCAUUUUAUUAUAUCAUGUGGGCUUGAUUUGGUUGACAAAUGUAAUUUUCUAUUUUCUUUUGCUGAAGUUUGAGAUUGUAAGUCAUAUAUGUGUACCUCCUUUCAAUAAAUUAUAAUAAUACUUCAUCUAUUCAUUUUUACUUUUUUUUAAAAAAAUGUAUGUAACUAUUUAUUUGUUGUUUUUGUUAUGAAUAAUAUUAAUAAUAUAACGUGGAUUUCCAUUGUCCAUAAGCUUUCUAUAACUCCUAUGUUUUAGUCAUAUGACUCUUCAUACACUUAUACAAAAGUUCUCAUCUUUUCUAUUUUUGAUCUUAUCAUUUAGUUUAUUUUCUAUGAAAAGUUGAUAAUAUGAGGAAAUGAGUCUCACAUUUGGGGAUAUAUGUGAAUCAAUACACAUAAUGAUCAUGUGGACCUGAUAUAUAUUUUAUAACUUCAAUAGAUGCAUAACUAAAUGGUCACAUGUAUGUUUAGUCUCUACUCAAAACUAAAACUCUAUGAGAUUAUUUGAUCAACUAAUUUGAUUAAGAUCUCACUCGCUUUGUUUAAUAAGUGUUGAAUGUACAUGAGAAUUGGUAUUGAACAUAUAGUUGCAUAUGUUCAUGUAUACAUACGGGCUUGAAUAUCCAUUCAUUAGUUGUCUAAUGUUAAUUGUAUGAUCAAUAGCACUUUUGAGAUCAUAUCUAAUGUUACUUGAGAAUAUGAAAUCUUUCAUUUUGAGACAUCACUUCACAUCCAGCCAACAAGUUAUCAUAUGUAAGUCAUCCCCUAGUUCACAAUGAAUUUGAUUUUUGGUCUAUAAACAUAAUAUUUCCCAUAUAAGCAUUUUUGGAUGUGUUUGAUAUGUUUCAAUUGCUCCAAUAUAAUGCACUUAAAUGGGUCGUAUGAGAAUAUUGAGAAGCUAUUAUUGAUAUGAAUCUCAUCUAUUAUAAAAUAUCUUGAAUACAUAAUUAGAGAUUAAUUAUAGCUUAAUAUAUUGAUUAUCAAUUGAUAAAUUAGUUUUCUCAAUAUUAGGGGGAGAAAAUAAACAACUGAAUAUAUGAACCAUAAGUUCAAAUGGAUAUAAGAAGUUGAGUAUAUGAACCAGAAGUUCAAAUGAAUAAGAAUUGAAUAUAUGAACCUGAUGUUCGAAUGAAUAUAAACAGCUGAAUAUAUGAUCUAGAAGUUCAAAUGAAUUGAUUGAAAUAAAAAAGUAUGAUUAUCUCACCUUGAUCCUCAUAUAAAUCAGUGUAAACCAGAAGUUUAAAAUACGAUUUAUUUGCAAAGUUAAACAAACAAAAUAUCAACUACUAAUAAUCCAAUCAAAAUAGAUCAUGUCUCAUUUGAACAAUCUAACUUAAUGAAAAGAUGCAUUUUUAUGCAAAAUUAAACUAGCUUUGCAAAACGAAUGGUUUUUGGUGCAGUAGUCCAUGUAUGGAAGAUGUGAAAAUAAAAUGAGAAUCAUGAAUUAUUUAAUUAUAAAGUUGGGCACAUUGUUCAAGAGUAUUGAUGAAAACCAACUAUUAAUUUUGAAGAGAUCUAUUAACUAUAAAGUGAAUUCAAGUACAUUAUCAACUUGAUUAAGUCUAGCAUCACUUGAAAGCAUCAAUCUAUAUAUGAAGUACAUGUUACAAUAUAUUUAUAUGACUCACUUGGUAUUUUUAUAUAAAAUUUCCCGAAGGAAUUAAUUUUAUUGCGACAUACAAUUCAUAUUCUCAAGGAGAUUACUUAAUCAAAUCGAAAUAUAGAAAUGUGUUGAGUAAUAUUCUUAAUGAAUAUUUUCUAAAAAAGUGAUAUAAAAAUGAUACCAUUUGUACAUUUCUAAAUAAACCUGAGAACUCGUAGAGAAUUUUUGAAAGUUGAUUUAUUAAAGAAAAAAUAUUGAGAUGAAAUAUGUAGAAAGGGUCAAUAUUUAUUUGAGAUUACAAGUUGAGUAUUUGAAGAGUAACACUUUUGUUAAUCAAGAAGCUUAUACAACAAAGUGCUAAAAUCUUUAUAUAUGGACAAAUCUGUAGAUGUAACACUUAAAUCUCUUUGAAGAGUAACACUCAAAUGGUUGAAAAGUCACUGGAUGUAGACAAAGAUAUAGUUUGAGAAUUCGAGUAAAUUAUGAAGAACUAGUUGGUUCUAAAAUACCAUAUUGUAUUUUAAUUAAAGGACAAUAAUGUACCUUGAUAAUUAUUCAUGUUAUCAUAUAUUAUUUUUAUUUUAGAUAUGCAUGUUAUUUGUUUGAUCCUCAAUAUUAAUGUGCUUGAUUGAGGUUUAUGAUUGAACACAUAGAAGAAAAUUUGUGGUUUGUCUUUCAGAAAAAUGAGCAACAAUAAUUUAUGAAUAUAAUACCAUGUGCAUUAAUUGUUCAGUUGAAAGGAUAUAUUCUUCAGAAGAACGAUGAUAUACAUAAUCAACAAAUUUUUUCGUGUGAUAAUCUUGUAGACGUUUUCAUAAAGUCACUCCCAAGCAUGAAUUUUGAACAACUAAUACAAAAAAUUGAUCUUCAUCAUCUUGGAGAUGAUUGUUUGGAUGAAGGAGAGAUAUAAAUAUAUUCUGCACUCUAUUUUUCUUCACCAUGGUUUUGUUCCACUGAGGUUUCCUGGUAAUAUUUUUAAUGAGACAAAUAUAUUAGAUAUUGUACUCUUUUUCCUUCAUUAUGAUUUUUUUUUUCUGUCCUUUUCUUAGUAAGGUUUUAAUGAUGCAUAUCCUUCAUGAACAUCUAAAAGGGAGUAUUAUGAAUAAUAUUAUUAAUAUAAUAUGGAUGUCCAUUAUCCAUAAGCUUUCUAUAUUCCUUAACUCCUAUGAGUAAUGACUUUACUCAUUACAUUUGGCAUUUAGUCCUAUGAGUCUUUCAUACACUUGUAACUCAGGACAUUUAUAAGAUUUAUAUUCAAUGUAAAGAAUACACUUAAAAAGAGAAUAAUACAAAAACUUUCAUCUUCUCUAUGUGCUUUGAUCAUCUUCUCUAUUUUUUUUUUUUUCAUCUUGUCAUUUAGUUUAUUUCAUAACAGUUUUGAAAUUUGAAGGUUAUACUCAUCAAAUUUUUAGACUGAGAUAUCAUGGCUUACCAAAAAAUAAUUGAACAUAACACAACCCAUUCUCCAUAAAACAAUUCUCGCACAAUCUUUCCAUUCCAACAAACCCUAUGGCUUUUUUUCAAAAAAAAAAAACCCUAUGGAAAAAGUAAAAAAAAAAAAAACGAGGCAAUCUUGAGAACAUAAUGGGUCUCCCAACUUUUACUUCUAAUGUCUCAGAUGAAUGACUACCAGUAACACACGAUUAAGAUCACAUAAAUUAAUCACUGAUUAAUAUUUUAAGAGAAGUUUAUUGCCUAGAUCUUGAUCGUACCCGUCGUGGGUGUUGUUAAGAGUUAAUUUCAAUCUCCAUGAAAAUGUAAACUAAGCUUGCAAUGUGCAGAGGCUUGAAGAAGACAAUGAAAAAGAGAGAAAGAAAAUUUUAUUAUUCAACAAUCUAAGUAUUACAAUGAGGUGAUAUAGCUUUAUAUAAAGUGUAAUUAACUACUAUAACCUAUAGCUACUAACAAAAUAUAACUAACAUAUCUAACCAAUUGCAAAACAGUUACAAUUGGUUAGAUUAGCUUAGUUGUCAACAGUUACUUGUAGCACAAGUAACCACUGCAAUACAAUGUGAAUUAGGCUUUAACAACCCCCUCAAGUUGGAAUAGAUGUUAAUUGUUCCAAGCUUGGUCUGUAGAGUGUUGAAAGGGCCAGGAUGAAGAAGCUUGGUUAGAAUGUUAGAAAACUUGAUCCUACAUUCCUUUUGUCUAUUUUUUUUUUGUAUAUUAACAUCCUUUAACUAAUUAAGACUAAUUACUGUUAUAGAGUAAUCAAUAUUGUUGGUUAGAUUGAGUUAGUUAAACUAGUAGUUAGUUAGUUUUUCUAACUGUUACUUACAAUGUAAGUAACUGAUGUUGAUUGAAGUUAAUUGUUAUACCUGCUAUAUAAAUCAAUUACAUUUAACUCUAACUCUCAAGAAUGUCAAUAAUAUUUUGAUACACAUUAAGUUAGGAGAAGGGACAAAGUACAUUCAUAAAAACAAAACAUCACCACAUAAUAAAGGUAACCAAACUAAAGUUUAUCAUCAAUCCACCUAAUAGUUACCAACAUAAAGUUGUCUAAAAUAUAAAAGACCAUGAUAUGUUUGAUCUAACAAAAGAUACCAAAAAGCAACCAAGCUAAAGUUCAUCUAUCUUGUUGUUGAUGUUAUCACCCUCUCCUUCCUGUUGAAUUGAAGUGUUCAUAUUAGGCACAAUAUUCCCAAUAAUUUGCUUCAAGCGCUCCAUCUUCUGUCUUAGUGUUUCUUGUUCAAGAUUUUUCUUUUUAAGUUCAACGGUUAAUGCUUCAAUUUUAGCCCCCAUAACAGCAACUUUUUCUGAAGAAACUACAUCGGUAGAAAUUGAAGGCGAUGGUCUCAAAGAUUCUUUGAAAACAACAACUUGAGAUCCUAAUUUAAGUAUGUUCUCCUUCUUGUUAAUGCCUCCAACAAUUUCCAUAUAAAUACCAUUGUCAAUUUCUUUAGUAGGUUGUUGACUAAUAAUCUCACCACUUUGAGACUGUUUCUCAAACAUUUGAGUUUUGUACAUUUCCUGCAAAAAAGAGUUACUAUUAGUAACAUAAUUUAGAUUUAUGAAAGAUAACAAAAAAAGACUGAUGUAUACAUACAUCUAUCUUCGCUUGUGUUUCAUUAAACCACUUUUUGGUCUAUGAAGUUUUCGUAUAGCUCAAACCUUGUUGGUUCUCUAUCUAAUUCCACUCUCUAAAACAUAACCAACAUACAACAAGUUAGUAUAAACAUAUUUAAAUUGUAAUUUAAAGAAAAAUAAUUACUAACCAUUUUUUUCCUUUCUAUUCUAGCAGAUAUGGAUCCUCCACUAUGAACACUGUGUCCAACUUUAGAUUGCCUAUUUUGUUUAUUAGUCAUGGAAUAUUUUCGCCAUUUCUCUUCUUCCCAUUUAGCCUUCAAUUGUUUCAAGUUGUUUAUUAGUGAAGGAAUAGAAACAGAAGUUCCUUCUCGUUGUUGUUGCUUGGCUAAUUGCUUCUUCUUCCGGGCUGUUCUUUCGAUUUCAGAGUGAAAGAGUAAUUAAUCUUCCAGAAACAAGUUAGAAACACGACUGAUAAUAUAUAUACAAGAAGGAACUUCUUUUAUAUAUAUAUAUAUAUAUAUAUAUAUAUAUAUAUACACACAAGAAAUUAAUAUGUACAAAAUUGAUUAAAACAAAAAUUCUUGCUGCAAUGCUUAUGAUAUCUUAAUGUCAGUCCCUGGAAACGGUACCAUUUUGAUGUAGUAUCAAAAGUAAGUAUGUAUUAGUAUCAUAUCUAUAGGGACUAGUGCGAUAUUCGUAAGCCGUUCAACAAUUUUUUAUCGUUUUAAGUUAAGGUUUUGUAAAAUUGUUUGUUGCGAAAACCUAAUCGGACUAUAAUGCGAUAAAAUAAAAUUGAGUUAGACAGAGGAUUAAAGCUGUUGGGGUUAGACUUCAUUAAGAAAAUGUCGCAUAUAUUCUCUUAAUCAAGCAUAUAGAUUCUAGCUAUAAAUCAAUAUAUUAUCAUGUUUCACUCGACAACAUCAAUUAUGUCUAAGUAAUAUCGUGAAUUCAAUCGUAUUGUUUAGUCGACAAUUUCUCGGCCUAUUAAACAAUACAAUAACAUGAAGAGUUGAUACUUAAGUGAUUAUCAAAACCUAAAACCAUUUCUAGUAUUUAGGGGUUCAAUAGAUUAUUAUCCUAUGUGUAGAUUCAAAAGAUAUUUCUCAAUAACAUUUCAAAUCAUAAAUCAAGCAUGAAUAAAUAAUAUCAAUAUCAAUAAACACUAGAAUCAUAUAUUGCUUAAGAUCAAAGAGAAUACAUAGUGAGUUUGUUAAUUACAUUUUUAUUGUCAUGGUAGCCUUACAAAAUUGGAAGAAAUGUGUGGAAUACUUAUCAAGAUGUUGAUUUCUCAAUUGAAUCUUGUUGAAUCCACCUUAUAACACUCUUGCUUUGUGUUUCUCUCUAAGAUUCGUUCUUGUUUCUCCCUAAAAGUACAAGUUAUCUUUGGUUGGAAAUGAAUGAGCGGCUUUUAUACUUUUUCUGAUAAGUGCCUGCUCGCCGAGUGAAGGGAGGCUCUCCAUGGCGUAAGACAUAGAAAGCAUAAAAUGACUUAUUCAUUAUUUUUGAGCUUUUCAUGAGAUAAAUUGUAAAACAAGUAACCAAAGUGUCUAAAAUAUAAAUGAUAUUUAAAUACUUUCUGACACUUAUCACGUACAUAAACGAUAAGAUACAUUUUAUUUCAAGUUUUAAGUUUUUAUGAAUUUAAAAAUAAAAUAAAAGAAAAUAAAGCAAUCGUUAGCGACGGAUUUAAAGACAAAUAUAUCUAGAGACAACAUUAGCGACGGUCUUUAGAGACGCAUGUAGGGACCAAUGUUGUUAGAGACGGACAACUGCAUUUCCAUCUCUAGAUUUUGUCUCUAAACAACUUUUGUAUGCACUUAUCUAACAUAGUAUCUCAUUAGAGACGGAUUUUUAGACGGAUAGUAAUCAACGACAGAAUGUUCCAUCACUAAAAUCCGUCUCCACACACAUCAUCAUAUUCCGUCUCCAAAUUAUAAAUUUCCGUCUCAUCUUCCGUCUCUGCUAGAGACGAAGUGUUUCCAUCUCUAAAUUCCGUCGGGAUAUCAAUUUUUUUUUUUUGAAGGAGCUUAUCAACUUUUUUUAGUAGUGCAAUAAAGAUCAAACGUAAAAAGUAAUAUGUUUGCAAAGAAUAAAAACUAAAAUCAAAACUUUUGAUAUUGAUGAUGACCAUUUGUAUAUUUAAAUUUAAAAAUAAUAAUUAGAGAGAUUGCAAUAUUUGGUCAAAGCUGAAUACUAGCAGUACUAUUAUAAGAGAACUUCUUAUUUGGGUUUGCAUUAUUUGAUCGUGCGAAGCAGAAAGCUAUGUCAUUCAACCAAAGAGUACACAUAUUUUGAAUUUAUUGAUGUAUCCUGUCUGGUUCUUUGAAUGCUUCCAACUCAAUUUUUGACCAGUUCACAAUUUUUUUCUUUCGUUUUUCAGAUUCACGUUAAAAUAAUGGGUUAUUAAUGUUUUACCUUCGUAAUAUAGACCAUUUUUAUUUUCCCUUGUAAUUUUUUUUUAGAUUCUAUCAUUGUAAUUUAAAGAUAUUUUGGUUUUGUCCCCGUAAAAUCUUUAUGACAUCAAAUUAUAAAAUUUAUGGCAAUUUGUCCCUUGUAAUAUGAUUAAAUUUCGGUUUAACCCUAUGCAAUUUGAACAAAUUUUGGUUUACUUCCAUGCCAUAUCAUGAAGGUUCAAAACCAAAAAUUUUCAAAUUACAAUGACGAAAACCAAAAAAAAUAUUUAUAGAGAAGAAAACCGAAAAUAACCUGAACCCCGAACAUGACAAAAAAAAAACUACUAUUUAACCCUAAAAUAAACUCAGCUUGAUUUUUUUUUUUUUUAAUAUUGAGUUAUAACAUUGAUGAUUUAGUUUGUAUAUAUCUUUUAAUUAAUCAUUCUCUCUUUCUCAAAAAUAAUUUAUUUUAGGGUUAAUUAAGUUUUUAGUUCCUAUAAAUAUUCACAGUUUUGUUUUUAGUCCCUACAAAAUAAAAUCACACUUUUUAGUCCCCGUGACAUUAUCCUUAAGCAUUUUAGGAACCAAAAUUGUUGAUAGAAAUUUUUGACAAGGACUAAAACUGUUGAUGGAAAAAUUUUAUAGGGAUUAAAAAUGCUGAUGGAAAAUUUUACAGGAAUUAAAAAGUGUGAUUUUAUUUUGUAGGGACUAAAUACAAAAUUCUGAAUAUUUAUAGAGACCAUUUACUUAAUUAACCCUUUAUUUAAAUCAUUCAUCAAAAUACACUAAAAUCAUCAGUAUCACAAAAACUCAAUAUCGUCCAAAUAUUUUCCCACAAGUAUAAUUUUUUUAUUUGCUUUUAGACUAAUGGCCAACAUACACGUACAUACUCUCAAUAAAACGUGCUUGAAGAGAAUGAAAUGCAGUGACAUGAAUUCAAACCCAAAAUUCCGCAUAAAAUAUCAUCACAACCAAACCACAAUGCUACAACAAACACAUAUUUUAGAUUUUAAUUAUUCCAGUGGUAUAUCAAAAAAAUGUAUAUCAAUGUCAUCCUAUUUUCUUAUUAUUUUAUGGAACCCUUCUUUUAUUUAUCAAUUUCAACUUUCAAGUUAAUAAUAAACACAUGCAAAUAAUUUUUUUCUAUAAAAUUUAAAAAGCAAUAUUAAUAGUACAUAUUAUCUCCCUCAAAAAAAAUAGUAGAUAUUAUCAAAAUUCAUAUCCCAAUGUGAAUAAAAAAUGGCCCAAGGACCUGGUAUUAGUCAUCAUCUUCCUCUAACGUGCCAUCCAAUAACAUCUUCAGUUCCUCCUAUAAAUACCAUGCUGAACUUCACUUAUAAACCACAGCAAGGCAAGCAACUUCUUCAUUAUUUCUUUCUUACACUAGCAUUAUAAUUCAUCAUGGGUGUCAUCAAUUUUGAGGAAGAAACCACCUCUGUUGUAGCUCCAGCUACACUUCACAAAGCUUUUGUUACAGAUGCUGACAACCUUAUCCCAAAGGUUAUUGAUGUCAUCAAAAGUAUUGACAUUGUUGAAGGAAAUGGUGGCGCCGGAACCAUCAAGAAACUCACUUUCGUUGAAGGUCAGUAUAAAUAUAUUUGUUAUAUCUCUUAUAAGCAAAUCUUACAAUUAUUAAGAUUUAGGGUUUAUUAGGGUUAUUUUAGACGUAAGUUGCACCGACACUUCUGAUUGAAGGUGUGUCUUGACGUCCGACAUCACGACACUUGUGAUUACAUUGAAUUAUGUCAUUUUCUUAAAAUUUUAUCGGCGUCGAUGUGUCCGUGUUGUGUCUGGUGUCUGUGCUUCAUAGUUUUAGACAAAUUCUUGUACCAAUUUUUAAAAACCUAAAUAUAUCAAGUAAUAAUGGUCAUGAUAUUAAUAUGAUUGUGAGAUGAAUCUAUAUAUGACAUGCAGAUGGUGAAACCAAGUAUGAUUUACACAAAGUGGAGUUAGUAGAUGAUGCUAACUGGGCUUACAACUACAGCAUUGUUGGAGGUGAUAGUCUUCCAGACACAGUAGAGAAGAUUUCAUUUGAAGCUAAACUGUCUGCAGGUCCAAAUGGAGGAUCCAUUGCAAAACUUAGUGUGAAAUACUUUACAAAAGGAGAUGUUACUCCAAGUGAAGAGGAACUCAAGAGUGGCAAAGCUAAGGGUGAUGGUCUUUUCAAGGCCCUUGAGGGUUACUGUUUGGCUAAUCCUGAUUACAACUAAAGCAUAUAAUUAAAUGCUUAUUCAUGGUGUGAUGUGACACAGGAUAAGCUAUAUCCAGUUUGCUUAAUUUGGGUACCAAUGUAAUUCUCUAUUUUUCCCCCUUUCCUUUUGGUAAGGAAGUUUGAGUGUGAGAUUGUAAGUCAUGAGUGCCUCCCUUCAAAACAUUGUCAGCUUUUUUUAAUAAAGAGAUUGUUACUAUUUAUAUAUGUGGCUUUAAAAUUAUAAGGUUAUAGUUAUAGUAUUAACUUUUUUUCGUGUCAGAAAAAAGUUAAAAAUAGACUUUUGUUACGGUAAUUUAUAAGGUUAUAAUAAUUUUAUAUUUAUAUUAUUGAAGAGAGUACAUUAAUUAGACUCAAGUGAUUAGUGACCUUUCUCUCAAGAAGAAUUGUUCUAGAGAACCCGAUUUUAUUUUUGGUAAGAAUAAUUUUUGGUCAAACUUUAUUCUUCUUCCUAUCAAACUCUGGAUUACUAAUACCCCUUUCUCGAUGAAUUUGAAAGUUAAGAUAAAAAAAGUGUAAUUAUGUGAGUGAGUCAUUAUUAAAAGGUGAAAGUAUAUUCGGAAUCUGUUUAUUAAUUAAUAAAACUCAUUGUAGAUUUUAACCAAACAAUUGAGUUCAAGAGGUUAAUGAGUAUCCAACUAAUGAAUUGUUUAGUCGAAUCUGAGUUCGACUCUUGGGUAUAACUAUUCUUGGUCAUACUCUAUUUUCUUCCCUGCAGAACUCCAGAUUAUAUCUAGGAAACGAAGGGUUACACAAAAAAUAUAAACUCUUUGUAUGUUUCAACAUAAUAACGUUAAAAAACAAGAAGUAUAUAACAAUGAAGGGAGGAGACUUUUGAAUAAUAAUUGUAGUACUUUUCCUUAUAUCUAAGAUCAAGGUUGUCAAAAUUGAAUUUUGUUUCAAGUGGAAAGGGAAGAGUAAAAUCGAAAAUCGUAAAAUCGUAAUCAAAAUUGAAGGAUAUUAGUCAACUAUUUUUGUAGAAUCUAUAUAAGAAAUCGUAAAAUCGCAAUCAAAAUCGAUGGAUUUUACCAAAACAAAAAUAAUAUUAAAUAUAUGUUAUAAAUGACUCAGUUUAAUCUCCAAGUCUUUCGGAGAGCACUAAGGCAGAGAAAAAGAAGAAGAAGCUCGUGAACAAAGGAAGGUCUGCUAGCUUUAACUCAGCCAGAAUGAGGGUCCGUGCCCAAAAGAGUAACUCCAAAGCUGUCUUAGCUUUUCUGUAUUAUGGUGGAAUUAGCCACCUCCUUCCUUAGGAUCUUUCCAUUAUAAGGGUAGAUCUAGUUUUCCUUUUCGCAGGUUAUACACUUUCUGACUCUGUUGUAUUGAUUCAUGCAUCUCCUGUCUUUUAUAUUUUAGUGCUUUGAUAAAAGAAAAAGACUCAGUUUAAACUCCACAAAAUACUUAUACAUAAAUGACAAAAAAAUGAACUAAAUCCUCCAAAACCUUUUAAAAUCCUGUGAUUUUGCAUGGAUUUCACGAGUUUGUGCGAUUUGGAGGAUUUUGCCUAUUUUAGAAUUUUGUUAUGGAUUUGAGCCGUUGAAAGUGAAUAAGAUCGCAAAAUCCUAGAUUUUUAAGAUUUAAGUCGAGAUUUAAUCAACAAUGUCUAAGAGAUUAAGACCAUGACCAUCAUUAUUUUAUUUGUUGCUUGAUACUUACAUACGAAACUGGAAGGUUUAUACAUUUUGCUAAAAAAUUACCAAAGCAAGCAUAUGAUACAAUAACUAAAUAAUAUAGAAGAACUAUAUGCUCUUAGUUUAUUAUAUAUAGAAGAACUAGAAGACUUAGAAAAAGAUACCUCGGACAAUAAAUGAGGUUAUGUUGUCGUUGAAUUUCAUUACUGGAAUAGGAAUAUAUCAACAAAAGAACUGGAAAUUGUAGUACAAAGUAAUAAAUUGAUGCUCUUGUAAACAAUGAUAAAAUUGAGAAGGAGCCAAUAACUUGCUCAUAUAAAGCAUGCAGUUUUUUCCUUCCCAAGAUUGGUGUUUAUUUCUAUCAAAAUUAUUGUGAAGUGAUCAAAGAAGAUGUCAUCAAUGCUAUCUGCAAUCUUUUGUUUUUGGAUGGAUGAUGCCAAACUUCAAUGCCAACACCUUGAUUCUCAUUAUAAAAAUAUCUAAUGUUGAUACCAUUGAUCAAUGCAUGAUAAUAACAAUGGCUAGUUUCAAAUUCGAAGGUUAUUGCUUAUAGGAACAAAAAGGUUAUAUUCAUGGCAGGAAUGUUAGAGAAAGUGUUUUCCUAGCUUCUGAAGCCAUCAUUAAUCUUUUGCAAACCAAGUAUUUUGGUGGUAAUCUAGCUCUGAAAAUAGAUAUAGCCAAAGCUUUUGACACUUUGGAGUAGUGUUUUACAGAUCAAUAACUUGCUUGACUUCAAAAUUGGCACUUUUCCUUUCAACAACCUGGGUUCCCUAUCUUGAGAGGAAAAGUUAGAGCUAUUCAUCCGCAAGGUGUUGCUGAUAAAGUUAAAAAUAAGCUAGUAGCUUGGAAAGUUUCCCUUCUCUCAAUUGGUUGACAGGGUUCAAUUGAUCAUUUUUUUCAUACAUUGUGUAUUAUACUCAAACUCUGUCAUACAAUUGUUGGCAGGGUAAAAUGUGACAUGUUUGUAACUCACAUUUGAAAUAAAAAUUUAAUUAGUUAAUUUUUAUUUCCGUCAUAUUCCAUUGUGUAUUAUACUCAAACUCUUGCAUUUUUACACGUACUCUCUAACUUUUGUGCUAAUUGCAAUUAUAAUUUUUCAACCCCAUCGAAAUCAUGCUAUGAAAUUAUCAUGCCAUCAACAACAUAUAAAGAGAGUGCAAAGUACAACCAUGUGAAAAAUACUGAAUAAACAAACACUACUGGAAUCUCUCGUUUUUUUUGCGGAAUUUUCAGUGAAAUCCGCAAAAAAUUCCGCAGAAAAAUUAAGAGUUUCAAGUAGUGAAAGUAAUCAUGACAACUAGUAGAGAGGUCAAAAGAUAGUAUCAUAAAUAUGGAAAAUCUUUCAAACAAGGAUGCUGAACUUCUUUCUUUAAAAAAAAAAAAAAGGAUGAUGAACUUUUUUUGGUUAGAUUUUACUUUUACCAAACUUUAGAUUAUUAUUAUGACCUCUUUCUCUAAAAAUUGGAGGAUUAACACCAAUAAAAAAAAAAGAUAAAGGACUUUGUUUAAUCAUAUAUAUCGAGGAGCUUCUUCAACUUACAAACUUUAUAUAAUAAAAUAAUAAUAAAUUUCUUUUUUGAGGUUAAGUUUUGUAAGAAUAUCUUUUUAUCAAAUUGCUAGAGUAAGUUAUAUAUAUAUAUAUAUAUAUAUAUAUAUAUAUAUAUAUAUAUAUAUAUAUAUAGGGAGAUGCUACAACACAUCCACCUAUUUUUGUCAAGGUGUGUUUUUGCAUUGUCCACCUUUUUUGUUUUGACUAAAAACCCAUUUUCUCCUUUUUAAAAACAAGUAAAAGUGAAGGGCAAUUCUGUCAUUCGCAACUUAAGGCUACCAUUCGCAAAAUUAAAAAAGGUGUAACGUCUCUCAUAUAUAUAUAUUUAAAUAAUUAAUAAAAUUUAAUUAAAAAUAAAUCAUUUGAAAGAAUUUAAAUUUGAAUUUCGAGUAGAAUAAUCACCGACCAAUCUUUAUUUAUCCGACCGAACUCCAAAUUACGAGAGUUCAAGGAGAGUCAGGAUGAAAAAAGAAAAACUUUCUAUAUAUUUCUCGAACUACAGGUUCUAGAAUGGCGUCUAGAGGCUGCAAUAUUUAUAUAUUGAUAUAAGAAACAAUUGAGAAGGACUGCAAUAUUUCGUCAAAGCAGAAUACUUUGUAGUACUAUUAUUAUAUAAGCUGAAUAUCCUCUAAUUUGUUUGGGUUUGUUUUGAUAAUGUGUAGCAGAAAGCUACGACUUUCAGAGUGCUAUGAUUUUGAAUAUAUUGCCGUAGAUUAUGGUUUUGUUAUUUAAAUGCUUCAAAACCAAUUUUUGACCUGUUCACAAAAUUCUUCAGAUUCACCCAAAAACAAAUUCAGAUUGAGAGUUUCUGUUUUUUUAAAGAGUAACACGUCACUGAAUUAAAGAUGAUUAGUCAAAGUGAUAUUAUUUAUGAAUCAAAAUACAUACUAUAUCAUAUGAAUAUAUUAUAUAUCAUAUGUGACCUUGUAUACGACAAAUUUUAAAAAUACAUAACUAAGGUGCACGAUAUUCGAUAUUAAAAUUUUGGAACUAAAGUAUGAUUUCAGAAUUAGUUAUCCCAGUGCUAAACAUAAAUGGACGGAUCAACACGGCAACUUAUCCAAAAAAAUAUAUAUGUCAAUGUCAUCCUAUUUUACUAAUAUUUUAUGAAAAAUGUUAGCAAAUGCCCUUAAGAAGUUUGAAUUAUUUUAUUUUAUUUUUAAAUUUGUGUAUUCAAAACAUUCAAAUAUUUAAAAAUAAAUUUUGCUACAUAAAAGUUAUCAAUUGCUUACAUUUUUAAUCCUUAACAAAUGUUCUAUGGACUCCUUCAAAAAAAAAAUGUCUUAAGGAUAUAAUUUUUGAUGAAUCCUUAGCGAUACCUUUUCAACUUUCAAGCUCCGUCGGGUAUAAUCACAUCUAUUGAAUCUUUAUUGAUUAAUUUUUUUUGGAAAGGGAGUGAGGACACUAGGAAAACUUCUUGGAACGGUUGAAAUAAUAUUUGUUUGAGUAAAGAAACCGGUGGUUUAGGGGUUAGACAUAUGAGGAAGUUCAAUAAUACUUUGUUAGGGAAGUGAUGUUGGAGGAUAGAUGAUGAUUAUGGUAUAGGGUGUUGGUGGCUCGUUAUGGGGAGAUGAAUGGGAGGUUGGUGGUCAGAGUAGUUCAUCUUGGUGAAGGGAGGUAGCGAAAAUUUGUGAUGGGGAAGGUGUGGAGGGAGGAGGGUGGUUCGAGGAGAGUAUUGGGAGGAAGGUUGGUAAUGGGAGGGAUACCUUUUUUUUGGACGGAUCCGUGGUUGGAAGGUCAGCCUUUAUGUAGGAAGUUUAGAGUUUAGAUGACUAUUUGAUUUAGCGGAGAAUAAAUCGAUUACGGUGGUUGUGAUGUGUGAUUUGGGUAAUAAUAAUAAUUAUGAAGCAUAAAAAUAAUGUUAUAAAUAUGAUGUGAUAACAUUAUUAUUUGUUUCUAUAGAUCUAUAUCAUAUCUAAACCAGCAAAGGAACCUUAAGAGUACUAAAACACAAAUUUCACUAACGUUACCUAUAGUUAGGUCAAUUAUGAAGCUUGCCCCCAAUAUUCAAUCAUCUUUCUCAUUUUUAAUAGGCAAGUGUUAAUUGGUUUGGUUAGUUUUCCAUACUUGAACCAUGACCUUCUUCAUUAGUAUUCUUUCCGCUUUCGAAACUAUCUUUUAUAAAGGUUAUGUUAACUAAUAUCCUUAAGAUACUGGUUAAGAAAGAUAAAAUUAAAAAAAUUCAUUCAAAACAAUAAAUUCUCAACUUUCAAAAACAUAAUAUACAACUUUUUCAUACCUUUCAAUACAAUAUUUUUAUAUUAAUUUCCUUAACAUUUCCAAUUUCAUAAUGAUUUUUUAUUUAUUAAUUCUUUCUCAUAGUAUUUCAAUAUGAUGUGGUGGGGUUGGCAUUAGAGAGUUGACUUUAGGUAGGUAUAUUUAUAUAAGAACAUCUAUUAAAGGUGGUUAACAACUUAAAAUAAUUCAUCCUAAAACAACUUAAAAUAUUUCAAAACUUUGAUAAAAGACUAUAUGUUAUCUAAGAGGUGGUAAUAAUAAUUAGGGAGUUUCGACGGUACAUCCUUAAAUUAAGGUGUACUGAUACACCUAUUUCAUAAAUCAAUAAGUUAAUGAUCAUUUUUAUGUAAUAAAGAGAUAUUUAUCGACUUUUAUAUUUUAGAAAAUAUGUAGUUCAUAAGAAAAAACAUCAUUUCAUUUUUUGUAAGAAUCAUACUAAUUUUUUAACAUUUUAUCGAAAAAAAUAAUCGAUAUUCAUUAUUAUGAGUAAUAAAAAUUAAAAAAAAUUGAAUUUUGAUUUGCCGACACUUUUGAAAAAUAAAAUAUAAUUUAUAAUUGUAAUUGAUAGAAAAUAUUUUUUUUUUAUAAAAAAUAUCUCAUUAAACUAUUCAUUUAAAUAUAGGUAUACCGGUACACUCAAAUUUUUUGAGUGUGUCGUAGAAAUUGCCAAAUAAUAAUUAUGGUUCAAAUCCUACCCUUGACAUUUGAAUUAUAGUCAUUGGUGUCAUUGUUAUUGAUAAUAUUUUUCUCAUAUAAAUUAAAAUUAUAAUUUUAUGCAAUAAAAAAAUCCCAUUGAAGCAAGUUUGUAAUUAAAAUAAUUUUUUUUUUAAAUUAUCAACAAAACCAAAUAGUGUUCAUAAUCUUUCAAUUUUUUUUGGAUGAACUCUCAUAUCUUUCAUCAGAAGUCUCAAACUAAUACACACAUAAGCAUACACCUAAAAUCAAAUCUCUAACCAAAUUCUUAAUAAAUCUAGUUAUUUUUCAACCCUGCCACACCAUAAUGGUAGCUUUCACAUGUAAACAUUAGAUAUUAUUUUUCUUUUACUCAACAUAUUAGCUAGUUUGGAACUAGAAAUAUAAUAAUUUUGCGCAGUAGAAUUUAUGAGAGGACAAAUAUUAUAUAUUGUGCGACAAUAUGUUUAUUUUAUAGACGUCGUUUGCAUUUGGAAUUUAGACUGCUUUUGGUCCUUGAUGAGAGAAAAAGAAGAGAGAUAAAAAAAAUAAUGAAUAGUAUAUUCAAGAAUUUUGUGAGUCCAAAUAGGUUUUUAACAUAAAAAAUAAUAUUAAAUAAUAUUAUCCAAAUUCACGUCACAAUGUGAAUAAAAAAUGGCCUAACGACCUUGUAUUAAACAUAGGUCUAAACAAUACAUCUUCAGUUACUAUAAAUACUAGACUCAACUCCACAUAAACCACACAACAAAUUAAGCAACUUCUUAAUUAUAUUUACUAACUAAUACUUCUUUCACUAGCAAGUUAGCAUAUUAUAUAAUUCAUAAUGGGUGUUUUCAAUUUUGAGGAUGAAACCACCUCUAUUGUAGCUCCUGCUACACUUUACAAAGCUCUUGUUACGGAUGCUGACACCCUUACCCCAAAGGUUAUUGAUGCCAUCAAGAGUAUUGAUAUCGUUGAAGGAAACGGCGGAGCCGGAACCAUCAAGAAACUCACUUUUGUCGAAGGUCGGUAUAAAUAUAUGUGUAUUUUUUGGAUUAUUUUAAAGAGUCUAAUUGCGAAAUUCACACGGAUUAAGAGAAAAAUUGAUUCACUAUACAAAUAAAAUACAAUUUAUAAAAUAUAUGAGAGUGUUUAGUAGACACUCUUAUGAUUAACAGUUUUGGUUGCUAAUUAAUUGGUUUGAGAAAAUAUUUUCUAUUUAUAUUUCUAAUUAUAGAAUUGCCACUUUACCGUUUAUCAAUAUUUUUUAUCACUUUACCAGUAAUUGUGACACUUUGAUGUUAGAAGAAUAACCACGUUAUACUCGAAAAAAGUUCUUAGCCCAAAAUGGACAAUUUUACCAAGGUUGUAUUAAAGUAAAUUUAUACUUCAAAAUAAAAUAAAAAUGAAGUUUUUAUAAGAAAAGUAAAUUUCCGCUUAGUGAUCUCAUUCUUUAUGGAAUAGGUCAUCCUUUUAACGGUAUAUUUGAAAGAAUGCUAGAAUAUUCUUUUGGUGAUAUUAUUUUGUUCUAAUCGGAGUAUCGGUCGAGAAAUAAGUAUAGUUUGGUCAAAAUUAUCUUAUUGGAGAUUCAAAUUCUCCCGAACAAUUUGUCUUUGUCAAUUAACUAUUUAAACACAAUUGCUUGAUUAACUGGAACUUGAUUAUUUUAACCAAUGAUGUGCAGAUGGUGAAACAAAGUAUGUGUUGCACAAAGUGGACUUAGUAGAUGAUGUUAACUUGGCUUACCACUACAGCAUAGUUGGUGGUUUUGGGCUUCCAGACACAAUAGAGAAGAUUUCAUUUGAGGCUAAAUUAUCUGCAGGACCAAAUGGAGGAACCAUUGCAAAGCUUAGUGUGAAAUACUUCACCAAAGGUGAUGUUGCACCAAGUGAAGAGGAACUCAAGAAUGGCAAAGCUAGGGGUGAUGGUCUUUUCAAAGCUCUUGAAGGUUAUGUUUUGGCAAAUCCUGAUUACUAAAGCAUAUAGCUAAUUGCUUACUUGCUUUAUACAUGGCGUGUUGUAAUGCAUUUUAUUGUAUCAAGUGUGCUUGAUUUGGUUGCCAAUGUAAUUCUCUCAUUUUUUUUCGUUUUAUUUCUCU
rnacentral:lncRNA from 1 species